AAUGACACAGUCUACUGUUUUGAAGAGUGCUGUGUAUGACUGACUGAGCUAAAAGGAUUGCUGGCUAUGAGUGAGUUUUAGUUUUAGAAUUCAUUUUCAAAGACUCACAAGGCUCAAGAAGCUUGAAAACCACAGAUGAUGUAUACAGUAGCUGGAGUUCCCUGGAGGCUCCUUUCUAGGGUCUCUCAUUUGAAUUGGUGCAGAACUGAAAGCAGAGAGUCAGAAAGUAACUCUGCUUGUAAAAAUGGCUUAGGAAAAGGAACUUAAGAUUGUGGGUUAUAUGUGUGUAUGUGUGCACACACAUGUAUGUUUCCUGAAUUCUAACCUGAAAAUAUCACAUUUGUGGAUACUUAAAAUACUCAUAUGCAUUUUGAUACACAAAAGCAAUUCAAAGUAUGUAAAAGGAGGCUGGAAAUGUAAGCUUAACAGUGAUAUUCUGGAGAAAAAUGUUGUAACUGUCACUCCAGGCCUCCCUUAGGAGAAACCAAACUUGUCAGAUAUUUUGGAAUGGUAGCUCUUUUUCAGGAAUUAGAAUAACUGAAGUAUGAUACUGUGUUCCGUGUGCUUUAAAAUCUGUGACCCUCCCCUGUUGCUGGUCAUAGCUUCAGCAUUUGAGUGUCCAUUGUCUGUCGCUGAGGACAUUUUCUCAUCGGCUCUUUUCCCCAUUGUCCCAUUCCUCUCACUCACACCUGAUUACCAAAUAGCUCUAACGAAAUCACAGUCACUCCUUCCUGUGUUUCCACCAUUGUGUACAUCUUCAUUUGCACACCCUAUUUUUUAAUCAAAGUUAAAGCCUCACCAACAAGGUACUUAGAACAAUCACCCACUUCUGGCCACUUCGUGACGGGAAAUACAUCUUUGCAGGGGAAGGAGCUGGAUCAGACUGACAGGGUUUCACUCAGACUAUUUCAAACAAUGAGGAGCCUUGACCUCAUUCCCAACUUUUGCCGUCCAUAGUGGUUGAUUUCUUGUUUUCUCUUUCUCUCUUUUUUUAACAGAAACUCUUAAGCUCAAGGCUAAAUUACAGUGGGGACUUGCCUUUGUCUACAGUCCAUGGUUUCUGUAUUGGCUCAAGCCUUGAAAUCUUGAAACAAGCCUAAAUUAAAAUUUUCUCUUAGCUUAAGAAAAAAAGUUACAUAUUGUCAAGACCCUUAUGUGUGUGGUCCAUUAAAAAGGUCUUGAUAUUAGAAGAUAACAGCAAAUUGUUUCUUAUCCCACAACAGCUUUGCCUUUCAGUGUCCUUUGUGGUGGUUUUCGUAGGUCAGUGGUACAAUUCAACACUCUUCCAAUAAGCCAUAAUAAUAAUUGUUGGCACAACUGUUAUUACAACAGGACUUGCCUGGGUUCCAUCUAUUAAUUUUUACAGACAGUAGGAAGCUCACACCGAGGAGACAUUGGUAACUUCCUGGACAAGGGCAAAGAAAGGAACUAGCAUAUUGUACAUACUGUGUACGUGCACAGAACACUGGUCUGUGCCUUUGGAGUGUUCUCAGAGGGGCAGGCCAGAAGGGAGGAUUCAGGUAGGAAAUGAAUCUAGGACUUCUCUUGCCUUUGAUGGUUACUGAUGGCAAUUGUGUUUCCCACUGAAUAACUUGGUGGACAAUUUUGAUAGUAAACUGAACUCAUACCGAGCAAGCACAAUAGUCAAUCCAUAAAGAAAAGGGUGGCAUAUCAUAAUGCCAGAAACCUUGUCUCCCUAAGAGGUGAUCAUGAAUUUCCUAUACAGGGCAAAAAAGGGAAGAAUAGCCUAUUCAUAUUCUGUAUUCACAGUUUGAAGGACCCAUCACAAAUGACCUUCAAAGACUGACAGGGGGCAGGUAGAAGGGAGGCAAAAAUGCAGAGAAAAAGAUGUUACCUUGAAAAAUGAAGUAAGAAAUCCUAAUAUUCCCGUAGUUGAUCCUAAAGUUUGUUCCCAUGUCUACGGUUAUUUCUAAAUAACUUCACUACACUUUGAAAUUCCUUAGUGGUGGUUUAUCAGUAAUACUUAACUGAAUUUUUCCGUUUCUAUUCUUUGCUGCCAAUGAAUGUAAUCUCCACGACUUGCCGUUCGAGUGCACGCACAGACACACACACAUAAUGGUAUAUGCAUCAUAUAUUACUCAUUUUGUGGGAAACACAAUGUAUUAUAAUGAAAAAGAUUCCAGCACAUUCUUUCAGUGUGUUUCAGUGAUAAAAUUUUGUGGGGGAAUAGAGGUAUACAUACUCUCUUUGCUGACCAUAUUGUUGAAAUUAUGAUCUUAAGCAACACUGUUAGAAAUGCUUGCAUAAAGUAUCUUCUCUAGUAUUAAUGAGUUGAUUCACUCUGAAUUGAAGGUUCAAAAAAAUGCACUAAACAAAUAUUUUUAUAUCUGUGGUAUUUUCCUAUUAACUACUCUUAGUGAACACGUGACCAUAUACCUGAUAUCAUUAAAAAGGAAAAUGGCCUAAACGAAACGUUAAAAGUGGAGGUAUUUAUAAAGUCUUCUGCCAAAGACCAUUGUUUAAUGAUCUGUAAAAUGUAGAUUAUCUUCUUUUAUUAUGAAUGUGAUUGUAAGAAACACCCUAACAUUCUCUAACUUUUGAAAAUGAAUAUUUUGUAUUUCUAAGGACCAAGGAAAAUAUUUUUUAAGCCAAUGUAGUACACAGAAGCCUUGUAAAUGAGAGGUACAAUGACUUGGAUCAACUGCAUAAUGCUAGAUUAGAAUUCCAGCAUUUGAUGAUAAAUUUAUCAAUCUUUCCUAUAAUUCUUAUACUGCACUAAAUUACAUUUUGGAAAUUUUAGCUAAUCUUUUCAAAUUAAAGGCACCAACAUUAAUGACAGAUCUUCUCUAAUAUGAAAAGCAUCAAAACAUUCCCUUUCAAGCACUUUGAAUGGAUGAAAAUUGCCAUAUAAUUUUCCCACCUACCUAACCAUUCCAUGUAAGUUAACUGAGCAGUCUAACAAUGUUGUACAGAAGGUUGACAGACUAUGUGCACCAAGAAUAUUUAAGUUGUGCAGUUAGCAAGAACUAGCCAUUUCAAAUAUACUCAAAUGUUUUGUAAAUAAAAAUUUUGACUCCUAUAAUUUUGUUCAAACUGAUGUCUUUUAAAAUAAUUAGAUUUUAUUUGAAUUUUAAAAGUAAUCUGUUGUAAAUUAGAUGUUACUUUGUUGACUCUGUGAUUCAAUGUACACUCAGCCAUAUUCCUGUGGGGAAAUAUCAAUCUUACUGACUUUCAUGGCAUGAGCCAGAGAUUCAUAGUUUCCUUUAGGACUAUAAGUAUGAAGACAAAACACACCAAAAUAAAAUGCUAGUGAAGAAAUUAGAAACCUAUUGUAUAAAAUGUAUUUUUAAAAUCUUAAGAUAUAUGUGAUUUACACUGCCUGUUAAUCUAGUCUCUUUGUGAUUAAAAAAAAACAUAAUAUUUGUUAAGACUCAGACACCAAAUAUUUGUGAUGUUUGUAUAGCACCAUCGUUAUAUGUGAUUUCAAAGGGUAAGCAUCUCUGUCGUAAUCAUGUAAGCCCACAGAAGAAUAAAUUCCUGAGGUUAUGUACAACCAACUCUCAGAAUUCAGACUUCCUGCAGCUGCCAUAUCACCAAUAAAUGAGAAUUGUGAAAAACAAUUUUUAAAG
rnacentral:lncRNA from 1 species